rnacentral:misc_RNA from 1 species
UUGAUAUAAAAAUUCCACCGAAGCAUCAACGCAUGUCCAUGUGGCCAGCACCCUCCUCCGCUCAAGACCCAAGUCUGCUAGAACCCGGGCGCGCUCCAAAUUCCCCGGUCACCUACCUCCUCUGCCCUCUCACUCUCAGAUCCGCGUCCUCGGCUCCUCCUCCUCCUCCUCCUCCUCCCUUCCUUCGUUCCUUCCAGAUCUCCCUCCCAGUCGAGAGUCGAGAUCCACCGCCUCCGCGCCCCCUCACCGGUGCAGCGCGAGGAAGCGGGGGGCCAGAGGCCAGCCAUGGGCAAGGAAGGGGCCAGCGACGGCGGCAUGUCGGAGUCGGUGAUCCGCAAGGUCCUGGUCUCGUACAUGUACGUGGCGGUGUGGAUCUUCCUCUCCUUCUCCGUGAUCGUCUACAACAAGUACAUCCUCGACCCCAAGAUGUACAACUGGCCCUUCCCCAUCUCCCUCACCAUGGUGCACAUGGCCUUCUGCUCCUCCCUCGCCGUGGCGCUCGUCCGCGUCCUCCGCGUCGUCGACCUCCCGUCCUCGCCCGCCAUGACGUCGCAGCUCUACGUCUCCUCCGUGCUCCCUAUCGGCGCGCUCUACUCGCUCUCGCUCUGGUUCUCCAACUCCGCCUACAUCUACCUCUCCGUCUCCUUCAUCCAGAUGCUCAAGGCGCUCAUGCCCGUCGCCGUCUACUCCAUCGGGGUCCUCUUCAAGAAGGAGACCUUCAAGUCCUCCGCCAUGCUCAACAUGCUCUCCAUCUCGUUCGGCGUCGCCAUCGCCGCCUACGGAGAGGCCCGCUUCGACGCCCGCGGCGUCGCCCUGCAGCUCGCCGCCGUCGCCUUCGAGGCCACGCGCCUCGUCCUCAUCCAGAUCCUCCUCACCUCCAAGGGCAUCUCCCUCAACCCCAUCACCUCGCUCUACUACGUCGCGCCCUGCUGCCUCGCUUUCCUCGUCGUGCCCUGGGUCUUCGUCGAGCUGCCCAGGCUGCGCGCCGUCGGCAUCUUCCAGCCGGACCUCUUCGUCUUCGGCACCAACUCCCUCUGCGCCUUCGCGCUCAACCUCGCCGUCUUCCUGCUCGUCGGCAAGACGUCGGCUCUCACCAUGAACGUCGCCGGCGUCGUCAAGGACUGGCUGCUCAUCGCCUUCUCCUGGUCCGUCAUCCGCGACACCGUCACCCCCAUCAACCUCUUCGGCUACGGGAUCGCCUUCCUCGGGGUGGGAUACUACAACCACGUCAAGCUGCAGGCGCUCAAGGCCAAGGAGGCGCAGAAGAAGGCGGCGCAGGCCGACGAGGAGGCCGGGUCGCUGCUGCAGGAGCGCGACUCGCACGGCGACCGCAAGACUGACAACCAGGCCUAGCGAGUGUGCCGGAUCUCAUGAUCCAAUUCGCUCGGUUCUGAACCCAGUGUACUCCAAAUAUGUGAUCCAACCCUUACACGUUUGAUGCAAAAUUUGUUCAUUUCUUGUCUUUGACUUGAUCUGGUGGUACCAAGGAAAUAAGCACGGGAAAGAUGCAAGCUUUGUGUCGAACAUGUGAAAAAAAAUAUAUAUGUAUGAGCAAUUUUUUGUCUUUUUUUUGGGGCCAGUUGUAGCUGUUACUACCAUUAAACAGUAAGCAAAACUGUUUGCAUUUUAUCUGUAUUGCUGUGAUUGGUCGAUUGUCUUGCUAAUACAUAAAAAAUUGGACCCACUGGGUC